rnacentral:rRNA from 1 species
UACGUAGGGGGCAAGCGUUAUCCGGAUUUACUGGGUGUAAAGGGAGCGUAGACGGCGAUGCAAGUCUGAAGUGAAAGGCGGGGGCCCAACCCCCGGGCUGCUUUGGAAACUGUAUGGCUGGAGUGCAGGAGAGGUAAGUGGAAUUCCUAGUGUAGCGGUGAAAUGCGUAGAUAUUAGGAGGAACACCAGUGGCGAAGGCGGCUUACUGGACUGUAACUGACGUUGAGGCUCGAAAGCGUGGGGAGCAAACAGG